rnacentral:lncRNA from 1 species
ACGGCGCUGCAUCAGAAUCCAUGGUUUUGGAAAACACAGGGUGUGGCGAAUCCUCCAGCCAAUAUAAUAUUGCUCUACGGCCUAGGCAUUUCAGAAAAGCUCUCCUGGAGAAGAGAUGAACUUAUGGCCUCUUCCAGUAGCGAGGGCAUGAAACUAUAUGCUCCCUGUAUCACAGCAUCUGUAACAUACAGCAAGCAGCAAGGAGGUCCAGACAUGGAGGACGGAAGGUGAAAACAAGCCACCCAACCUGAUAAUGAAAAGCAGGCACUUGGCCUUGGUGAGGAGCAUCUCAGAUAAGUAGUUUAAUUGCCAAGCUCUGAUGCUGGAGGGAGGGAAAUCUAAGCUAAAUUAAAAGAUUAAAAAGAUAUUUUUUCAUCAAGUGGCAAAAUGGAAGAUGUGGACGAGUCUGCUCAGGAGAAAAUGAGCAGAAAGGAACUGUGAAUGUUGUGAAAAUAUAUCCAUUAGACCUGCCUUAUCGAAACGUGCUUUUGCCAAGCAUCCAGCCCUGCAUCGCCAUGGCAACAUGGCCUCAUCAACAGAGAAGAAAGUGUUUUUGUCAGGAUGGGCCCAAACACGUAAAAGCCAUUUCGAUUUGGGGGCAACACGAUCUUCUUCAAUCAAUACAGCACACAUAAUAAUGACUCCUGCCACUUUUUUCAUAAAUCUCCACUUUCUGCUUUCAUUUCCUGUGGUUUGACAUCACUGUGAACUGGAACCAAGUUUAAAUUUCCUACAAUUUUCAGUCCCCUCUGCCCUCAUCUACAACACACCAUGCCUCACGCAGCAGCUUUCUCCUUUGCACAGCACUCGACGCACAACACGCUUACAGGUGGGAUUAGCCCAGCCUGAACUGUGAGAUUGGCUUUUGGGACUCCCCAGUGGCACCUCUACAGAAGCGAAGGCUGAAAGUGCGGUCACAGCUGAGAUGUGAGUUGGCCGAUCAUGGGAUGGAGUAUCCUUUUCUCAAGGAGUUAACCAAGGUUGAUACAGACAGAGGAAAGCUACUUCUCCAGACAGACUGUUGCUGCUUUGGAACGUACACAAGGGUCAGCGAUUUGGAUCCUGCUUGUUCCCCAGGGACCUUUGGGUUGAGAAUGGGAGAAGAUGGCAUUUGGACACCAGUGUGUUUGAUUCCCAGUUCCAUCAAGAAGAGGAGAGUCAGGUGCAGACUGAACUGGCCCCUGUCAAUCAUUUGCUCUGGAAACAUUUGGAAACAUGCAUGGGCUGCCACUGAGUACUUUUGCUCUGCUUUAUGGGAUAUUUGCUCCAAGAAGCUCUGGCUUUGCAGGAACUCUUCUGUAACAUGGGAGAGAGGGCAACCAAAUGUCUGA